rnacentral:sRNA from 1 species
AUGGCAUACUCCUGUGAAACUAGCAUCAAGAAAUUUGAGAUAGAGUUCCAUGAUGGCAAGAACAUUGGGUCGGCAGUACGGUUAGAAUUAAAGAAGUACCACAGAAAUGAGAGUGGUGUUCUAAGACUGAUACGAACAGCAAGUAAAUCUUUUGCAGUUGGGGAAGAUGAAAAGAAUGGUGUGAGCUUGCCAUGGAAUACUUAUUUAAAACAAAAGGAUGUGAAAAAUCAAAUCAUACGGUUUAAACACAACCGCUUUAAUUUGGUGUUUCUUUUAGGGAAAGCUGUGUAUUAUCAUCACAAAGACAUUCCAUUGUUCCUUGAGACAGUACAUGGUACAUGCUAUGAUUUACUAAAAGCUGUUGCCCUCGACGCCAAAGAAACCUUGUACUUAGCAGGUGCUAAAGCUCUUGGACUAAUUUCAACAUUUAUUACUACACCACUAUGGAGGCUGUUAGAAGAAAAGGGGCACAUAUUAGACAUGCAUGAGAAAUACAAAAUGCUAAUAGACUUUUUACAGAAAGCAGCAAUGGAUGCUGAGAUAGCCUCAUCAUUUACUACUGGAAUGGUAAAAUACCACUUGCCAGAUGGUAUAUAUUGGAACCCAACAGAAGAACUUAUUGAGCAGACAAAAUCUGUUAUGAAGCAUAACAAACUUCCUGAAUUCAUCUUUGGUCAACUUGACCAGUUAUUGCGUUACAGACCAAAUUCAUCACUACUGACAAAUGAGUCAUUUCUUAUCUAUUCUCACAACAAAACAAGAGAAUGGUUUGAAAGCCUCAGUGCUGAAGAUAAACACAAGAUGAUUGAGGAAGCUAGAAAAGAAGGAAAAGAACUUAGAAAAUCAUUUCACAACCGACUCAAGGAGAUUCAAGAGAAAAGAGUAGCUGCACAACGUAAACGACAAAGAGAGUUAGAAGAACGAGAAAAGAAAAGGAUCCACCAAGCAGAGAAUCUGACAAAUGAUGUUUGUAUCUACGGCCUUUGGCAGAGCAUGCAACAAGUCAAGGAAGCUGUUGCCCUCGACGCCAAAGAAAAUGUGUACUUAGCAGGUGCUAAAGCUCUUGGACUAAUUUCAACAUUUAUUACUACACCACUAUGGAGGCUGUUAGAAGAAAAGGGGCACAUAUUAGACAUGCAUGAGAAAUACAAAAUGCUAAUGGACUUUUUACAGAAAGCAGCAAUGGAUGCUGAGAUAGCCUCAUCAUUUACUACUGGAAUGGUAAAAUACCACUUGCCAGAUGGUAUAUAUUGGAACCCAACAGAAGAACUUAUUGAGCAGACAAAAUCUGUCAUGAAGCAUAACAAACUUCCUGAAUUCAUCUUUGGUCAACUUGACCAGUUAUUGCGUUACAGACCAAAUUCAUCACUACUGACAAAUGAGUCAUUUCUUAUCUAUUCUCACAACAAAACAAGAGAAUGGUUUGAAAGCCUCAGUGCUGAAGAUAAACACAAGAUGAUUGAGGAAGCUAGAAAAGAAGGAAAAGAACUUAGAAAAUCAUUUCACAACCGACUCAAGGAGAUUCAAGAGAAAAGAGUAGCUGCACAACGUAAACGACAAAGAGAGUUAGAAGAACGAGAAAAGAAAAGGAUCCACCAAGCAGAGAAUCUGACAAAUGAUGUUUGUAUCUACGGCCUUUGGCAGAGCAUGCAACAAGUCAAGGAAGCUGUUGCCCUCGACGCCAAAGAAAAUGUGUACUUAGCAGGUGCUAAAGCUCUUGGACUAAUUUCAACAUUUAUUACUACACCACUAUGGAGGCUGUUAGAAGAAAAGGGGCACAUAUUAGACAUGCAUGAGAAAUACAAAAUGCUAAUGGACUUUUUACAGAAAGCAGCAAUGGAUGCUGAGAUAGCCUCAUCAUUUACUACUGGAAUGGUAAAAUACCACUUGCCAGAUGGUAUAUAUUGGAACCCAACAGAAGAACUUAUUGAGCAGACAAAAUCUGUCAUGAAGCAUAACAAACUUCCUGAAUUCAUCUUUGGUCAACUUGACCAGUUAUUGCGUUACAGACCAAAUUCAUCACUACUGACAAAUGAGUCAUUUCUUAUCUAUUCUCACAACAAAACAAGAGAAUGGUUUGAAAGCCUCAGUGCUGAAGAUAAACACAAGAUGAUUGAGGAAGCUAGAAAAGAAGGAAAAGAACUUAGAAAAUCAUUUCACAACCGACUCAAGGAGAUUCAAGAGAAAAGAGUAGCUGCACAACGUAAACGACAAAGAGAGUUAGAAGAACGAGAAAAGAAAAGGAUCCGUCAAGCAGAGAAUCUGACAAAUGAUGUUUGUAUCUACGGCCUUUGGCAGAGCAUGCAACAAGUCAAGGAAGUUGAGGAACAAACUGACAAUUUACCAUUACUUGUGGGUAAAAACAUUGAGCAUAAGUUUUCAGAUGGUGAAACUUACAAAGGAUUAGUUAUUUCUGUUGUACCGGGGUUCCCAAAAUGGUACAAUGUGAAGUAUGAUGGCGAUGAUGCUGUCUAUGCGUACAAUUUGCAUCGUGAUUAUAAAAAUGGGGACCUUCGGAUAAUGGUAUCAAGAAAUAACGAUAAAGAUUAG